rnacentral:lncRNA from 1 species
UUUGCAUGUAGGUAAAUUUCCGCAUGUAAGGUCUCAGUAUCAAGCAGGUCUUCAGAGGACUGAAUGUCACAGGAUUAAAAUCUAAAACUCAUUUAGCAUUCACCAGUGCAACCAGCUAAUAGGCAUCAAGAUUUGCAUCAGAGGAUCAAGAUCUGUAGUUGGUUUAAUGGUAAGAAAUAGUCUUAGAAAUGCAGCUUAGAAAAAAAUUUAGAGACAUUUAUAGCAGCCUCAGAGCUGCCCCCUUGGGCAGCUCUACAGUUUCUCACUCUAUCCUCUGUACAGGAAGGGGUGUUCCCAGGGCCUACUUCCCUGUGGGCUCUGUCCACAGUGCUCUUCAGGGCUGCUCGUGGCUGGCUUAAUGAUGUUGAGCACUACUGGCUUUUCACAGGGACAGGGCUGCUGGACACCCUGCAAUGUGCAGGACAGUCCUGCCAGGUGAAACUGUCUCUUCUUCUGCAUGACUUUGGAAUGUCUCACUGAAAUUUUAUGUACAUGAACAACCUGCUGAUAAACUUCUGAGCAUAAAAGCUAAUUCAGUUUGGUAUGUAAACAAAAUAUUCAGUUUAAUUCACACUGAAUUUUUCAGCAAUGCAAGUACUAUGCAAACUGGGGAAAAGACUAGGCUUAGUUUUAUUCAGAGCUUUGUUGGGAGUUGUUCACUAUGUCAGAGAAACUUGAGGUUAACAUGUGCAGCAGCUCCAUUUGUGGGGUUCCAUGUAGGAGGCCAAGUGUUUGCCUACUUCCUGUUGGCUUCUAGCAAAAUCGGGCCUCCACCUCUGUCUACUGAAAUACGUAUUAUUUUACGGUGGUUCUGAACCCAGUGACAAGCACCUGCUUUCAGGAGCCAAGAAGUCCCUGGCAGAGUGCAGAGGCUCUCAGACGGAAGUUUCACUCUUUUUGCUCAAGGUGGAGUGCAAUGGCGCGAUCUCGGCUCACUGCAACCUCCGCCUCCCGGAUUCAAGCGAUUCUCCUGCUUCAGCCUCCUGAGUAGCUGAGAUUACAGACAUGAGACACCGCGCCCGGCCUAAAAUGUCAUUUUCUUCGGUGCCACGGGGAAGUGAAAUAGUCCUGAACAAAAUUAUAUAUCCUAUCUGAGGUUGGGAUGAGGCACAGAGGUGGGAAGAAAAAGUCCACAGUCAAGUACAUGGGCUGGACAUAAAUGAGAGCAAGACUGAAAUGCUGAGGGGGCUGCAGGGAGAGGCACAAGUUACUUGCAUAUAGCGGUGAUAAGCCUAAGUGAGGCAAACUGAAGUCCUCAGGGUUUUCUAUGUUUUUGUUUUCCAUGUGGCUAAAAAUUCUGUGAUUUUUGUAUACUACUGCAGAAAUACAGAAUCAGGUCUUUUAUUUCAUAACUUACUGACACUGGCUUAAUUUCUUUGCACAGUUCUACCCUAUUUCCAAAAAGCUAAAGAGAGGAAUGUGCUAGACCACCCUCCCUGCCUCACUAUGCCAUAGUCUCUUUUGGGCACACAUUAUAUUCCUAUCCAUGACAAGCAGCCAGGGCAGAAGAGCUCUCUACAUAUGUGCCACCUUGUCUCCAAAACCUGCUGUCCCCUUUGGACAGACUGGCCCAUCCCUGACCACUGUUCUCCCCUGUCUUCAAUUCCUGAUGGCAACAAGAGAGAUUCUCUGACUGUUUCCAAGGAUGUCAUUCUCAGCCUCACCUCCAAGUUUGAUUUUAUAGAACAACCAAUAAAUGUGGUUUCACCUUCCUUGAGUUCACAACCAUUCUCCAAAGUGUAUUCAGAAGAACACGAGUCCUGGGAGAUGUUUCUCACAAACAGAGCUUGAAGGCCAGUUUGGAAAAUAUUGCAUGCCGUAACUCCCUUUAGAGAUUCACAGUGCACGCUUUCAUUUCCAAGGCUUGGAGAGCCUUUUCUCACAUUUUAUGGGCAAGAAAUGAUUUUUAACGUUGUGUUAACAUUCUUCAGAGCAGGUAUUCCAUGGAGUAUGCUUUGAGAGAUACCAAUUUAAGAGCAUAGUUUAUGAUCAGUAAAUUAUAAGCAAAUAUUUUAUUAAUUCUACUAUUACAAGAACGUCACUUUAAAUAAUUUGAAACAGACUAGGAAUGUUCUUUUACCUUCUGCUUUGAUGAAAGUAGAUGCCUGUUAUGUCCAAGUGAAUGUGAAUCCAUCAUUUUCCCUCCGUUUCUUAAAUCCUGCAGCUCUAGUGCUCAUGCCAUCACCAUGCAGGAGUCCAAGUGAGAUGAGG